GCCAGGUGUGGUGGUGGGCGCCUGUAAUCCCAGCUACUCGGGAGGCUGAGGCAGGAGAAUCGCUUGAACCCAGGAGGUAGAGGUUGCAGUGAGCCAAGAUCAUGCCACUGCACUCCAGCCUGGGUGACAGAGCGAGACCCUGCCUUUA
ensembl:misc_RNA Metazoa_SRP Metazoan signal recognition particle RNA